rnacentral:lncRNA from 1 species
UCCCUCUCCCUCUCCCUCUCCCUCUCCCUCCACGGUCUCCCUCUGAUGCCGAGCCAAGGCUGGACGGUACUGCUGCCAUCUCGGCUCACUGCAACCUCCCUGCCUGAUUCUCCUGCCUCAGCCUGCCGAGUGCCUGCGAUUGCAGGCGCGCACCGCCACGCCUGACUGGUUUUCGUUUUUUUUUUGGUGGAGACGGGGUUUCGCUGUGUUGGCCGGGCUGGUCUCCAGCUCCUAGCCGCGAGUGAUCCGCCAGCCUCGGCCUCCCGAGGUGCCGGGAUUGCAGAUGGAGUCUCGUUCACUCAGUGCUCAAUGGUGCCCAGGCUGGAGUGCAGUGGCGUGAUCUCGGCUCGCUGCAACCACCUCCCAGCCGCCUGCCUUGGCCUCCCGGAGAGCCGAGAUUGCAGCCUCUGCCCGGCCGCCACCCCGUAUGGGAAGUGAGGAGCGUCUCUGCUUGGCCACCCAUCGUCUGGGAUGUGAGGAGCCCCUCUGCCUGGCUGCCCAGUCUGGAAAGUGAGGAGCGUCUCUGCCCGGCCGCCAUCCCAUCUGGGAAGCGAGGAGCGCCUCUUCCCCGCCGCCAUCCCAUCUAGGAAGUGAGGAGCGUCUCUGCCCGGCCGCCCAUCGUCUGAGAUGUGGGGAGCACCUCUGCCCCGCCGCCCUGUCUGGGAUGUGAGGAGCGCCUCUGCUGGGCCGCAGCCCUGUCUGGGAGGUGGGGAGCGUCUCUGCCCGGCUGCUCCGUCUGAGAAGUGAGGAAACCCUCUGCCUGGCAACCGCCCCGUCUGAGAAGUGAGGAGCCCCUCCGUCCGGCAACCACCCCGUCUGGGAAGUGAGGAGCGUCUCCGCCCAGCAGCCACCCCGUCCGGGAGGGAGGUGGGGGGGGUCAGCCCCCCGCCCGGCCAGCCGCCCCGUCCUGGAGGUGAGGGGCUCCUCUGCCCGGCCGCCCCUACUGGGAAGUGAGGAGCCCCUCUGCCCGGCCAGACGCCCCGUCCAGGAGGGAGGUGGGGGGGUCAGCCCCCCGCCCGGCCAGCCGCCCAGUCCGGGAGGGAGGUGGGGGGUCAGCCCCCCGCCCGGCCAGCCGCCCCGUCUGGGAGGGAGGUGGGGGGAUCAGCCCCCCGCCUGGCCAGCCGCCCCAUCCGGGAGGUGAGGGGCGCCUCUGCCCGGCCGCCCCUACUGGGAAGUGAGGAGCCCCUCUGCCCGGCCAGCCGCCCCGCCCGGGAGGGAGGUGGGGGGGUCAUCCCCCCACCUGGCCAGCCGCCCCAUCCGGGAGGGAGGUGGGGGGGUCAGCCCCCUGCCCGGCCAGCCGCCCCGUCCGGGAGGGGGGAGGGGGGGUCAGCCCCCUGCCCGGCCAGCCGCCCCGUCCGGGAGGGAGGUGGGGGGGGUCAGCCCCCCGCCUGGCCAGCCGCCCCGUCCGGGAGGGAGGUGGGGGGGACAGCCCCCCGCCCAGCCAGCCGCCCUAUCCAGGAGGUGAGGGGCGCCUCUGCCCGGCCGUCCCUACUGGGAAGUGAGGAGCCCCUCUGCCUGGCCAGCCGCCCCGUCCGGGAGGGUGGUGGGGGGGUCAGCCCCCCGCCCGGCCAGCCGCCCCAUCCGGGAGGUGAGGGGCGCUUCUGCCCGGCCGCCCCUACUGGGAAGUGAGGAGCCCCUCUGCCCGGCCACGACCCCGUCUGGGAGGUGUGCCCAGCGGCUCAUUGGGGAUGGGCCAUGAUGACAAUGGCGGUUUUGUGGAAUAGAAAGGCGGGAAGGGUGGGGAAAAAAUUGAGAAAUCGGAUGGUUGCCGGGUCUCUGUGGAUAGAAGUAGACAUGGGAGACUUUUCAUUUUGUUCUGUACUAAGAAAAAUUCUUCUGCCUUGGGAUCCUGUUGAUCUGUGACCUUAUCCCCAACCCUGUGCUCUCUGAAACAUGUGCUGUGUCCACUCAGGGUUAAAUGGAUUAAGGGCGGUGCAAGAUGUGCUUUGUUAAACAGAUGCUUGAAGGCAGCAUGCUCGUUAAGAGUCAUCACCACUCCCUAAUCUUAAGUACCCAGGGACACAAACACUGCGGAAGGCCAAGGCCGCAGGGUCCUCUGCCUAGGAAAACCAGAGACCUUUGUUCACUUGUUUAUCUGCUGACCUUCCCUCCACUAUUGUCCUAUGACCCUGCCAAAUCCCCCUCUGCGAGAAACACCCAAGAAUGAUCAAUAAAAAAAAAAUAAAUAAAUUAAAAAAAAAAA